rnacentral:lncRNA from 1 species
GGGUGGCAGCUCUGGGCUUUUGGGUGUUGGACAACCAUAGGCAAAACUGAAAUGGAACAGGGGCAGAAAAUAGCACACUUUUACUCUACGCAACUGUUGCUUUUUCAUGAUCUUCAGGAAUUUUACUGGGAUAAUUAUCCAAAUAAAUUGCAAGCAUUCUAUCCAAAUGGUGAUCUUCUGAGAUAUUUUGAGGGAAAGAGGUAGUAUACCAAAAUGGAAAUACUACGCAAGAGCUUACUUCUGAGUUGUAGUUGGAAGAAUUAAAUGUGGGAGAGUAUGUUUUGCCAAACCCAAUCAGAAGGACUGCCUGGACUCUGUACAUGAGCCUGUUGUGACCUGAUUCUCAUGUAUUCUCGACACAAUGCUGAAGGUCCAAAGCCCUGGCACUUCUAGGGAGCAAAUACCUCCAGAGUUGAGUAAACCUGAAUCAGGAACACUUUCUCUGACUGAAUUCUACCUCAACAAUAUGCAUAUUCAAAAAAGAAAAGGUAACAUCCUUGGAAAAUAUGUGCUGGGAACUGCCAUAUUCAAAAUACUUCUAAAAUAAAUGGAGAGUUUUUUUUUUUUUUUAAACCAGGAAAAAAACUCUUGUGAAGAAUUAGUUUCUAAGUUUUUGGUUUCUAAGUAGUUUCUAAGUUUUCUUUGUAUUUUAUUGAUCUCAAAUGUUGUUGGGUUUUAUACAUCACGUAACUUUUGAUGUUACUUACAGAAUACUCUAAUUCUAUCAUUAGAUGUGUUUAUUUCUGAAAAGUGAGUGAUUGUUGAAUAGAAUCCCAUUAGCAACAUUAAUGUUACAAUUUAAAGACAAUAAUUUCUUGUAGAACUAUGACGAGGAUACAAGUUUUGCAAUGUUAAACAUUUUUGGAGGUGUACUUCCCUUGAGUGGGCACAGUUUUAGUCAUUUUGAUCUAUUUUUAAGCUUCAGUUUGAAAAAGUCAUACCUCAUUUGUCCUUAUAAAUAUUUAUGUCAUCUUAUAACCAAAUUAACUCCUAGAUUUUCAUUUGAAAUAACUCACUUUGGCUGAGUGCAGUGGCUCACGCCUGUAAUCCCAGCACUCUGGGAGGCCUAGGUGGGCAGAUAGCUUGAGCUCAGGAGUUCAAGACUAGCUUGGCCAACAUGGUGAAACACCAUCUCUCUUGAAAAUAUAAAAACUAUCCAGGCAUGGUGGUGCAUGCCUGUAAUCCCAGCUACUGGGGAGGCUGAGGCACGAGAAUCACUUGAACCCUGGAGGUGGAGGUUGCAGCAAGCCAAGAUUGUGCCACUGCACUCCAGCCUGGGCAACAGAGCGAGACUCUGGCUCA